rnacentral:lncRNA from 1 species
CUUGUACAUUUUUAUAUUGUUGUUAUCUUUAUAUGCAUACAAUCAUUAUGCUUUCUUACUUUUCCUUUUAAUAUUUGCUCUUCUGUAUUUUUCAUGACAGACUUCAUAGCUAUUACAUGGCCACAUGACGUUUCACUGAAGGGAUGCACCAAAAAUGACUGAGCCAAGCUCCUGAUGAUAAGAAUCUAAUUUAUUUACACUUUUCAAAACGAAUAAUGCUAUACUCAAUGUUCCUAUCCCUGCUUUUCUAUAUUUUGGAUUAUUUCUAUGAGUUAGGCUGUAGAAAUGGAAUUACUGGAUCAAAGGAAACCUAUAUUUUUUAUGGUUCUUAACACAUGAACCAGAAUUCACCUCUCAAACUUCACCCUAAUUUUCCCUGGCACCUUCAAUAUAUGAAUGUUAUUCUAUGGCACCUUUGCUAGCUCUGGAUAUUAUAACUUUAAAGUUGCUACCUAACUAGUUAAAGAACUUGUUUCAUUUUGAUUAAAGUUAAAUCUCUUUUUGAGCUAAGAAAUUUCUGUAGUAGCUUUGCAUGUGAGUGUAUGGUUGUGUAUAAACCAUUAUAUUCUUUCACAAAAGUAGCAACAUGGAUGCAUUUCUAUCUAAAAUUCUAGUCAGAACAAUGGUGAAUUUAGUGUAUAUUUUUGGAGGUUUUAUGGCAUAUUCUGACAUUUUAAGUGAACUUAUUCAGAUGUUAUUGAACACUUAGUAUAUGCCAGCCUUCACUGCAUUCACUGGAAUACAAAGGGUAAUAGACAAGGGGGAAGGGCAUUAUAAGAAACAGCAUUUGCAAAGGAAGGUGUAUGCGACACCCCCAAAAAAUGUUUUCAUAGAACUAUGGUUCCCCAUUAUUUUGGAGAUAAAAGGUAUUGUAUCAAUUAUCUACUUCUAUGUAACAAACUACUCUGAAACAUGGCUUUAAACAAUGUUUAAAAUUCUUCAUGAUUUUGAGGGUUGGCUGGGUGCACUCAUAUAGCUGCAUUCCUUACUCUGGAAGUUUGGCUUAGGCUAGGCUCAGCUGGAACAUCCAGGAUGGCUAAGCAUCUCUAAGAAGUCAUUUAUUUAUGAACCCGACUAAUAUCAAUGAGGAUGCAGGUUAGAUCCCUGGCCUUGCUCAGUGGGUUAAGGAUCCAAUAUUGCCACCAGCUAUAGUGUAGGUCGCAGACACCGCUCAGAUCCUGUAUUGCUGUGGCUGUGGUGUAGGCCAGCAGUUCAACCCCUAACCUGGGAACUUCCAUUAUGCUGUGGGUAUGGCCCUAAAAAGAAAAAAGAAAAAAGAAAAAAAAAGUCAUUUAUUUUCAAGAGACUAGACCAGACUGUUUCUUCACAUGUUGCCAGCGGAGUUUCAAGAGGGGAGCCCUAGUGCAAAAACACUAAACAAGCUUCUACUUGGAUUACAUGUGCUGAUGUCCUAGUAGUCAAAGCAAGUUACACGGCCAAGUCCAAUCUCAACAUGGGAGGGCACUAUUACAGGGACCCUGGGAGAUGUGAUUUUUUGGGAUUCCUUAGAGAAACAAACUCACAGUUUCCAUUACAGAAACAAUGGGUAAUGAAAAUGCAUACAGAUGCCAGACUACUACAGCACUCUUGUUCUAAACUUUUAAAGAUUUUUUUUCCUUAGAAAUCCCUAAGAAUGACUGGAAAGUUUUCAGAAAUUUUAGAGAUGUGGAAGGGGUCUAAGUGAAGAUUCCAUGCUCUUAUCUCUAGUUUUAGAAUGAUGAUUUAGGAGAGACUGCAUGACCCUAGAUAUGAGAUUAUUAGGAUCAUCAUCCUAAUCACCAGAGUGGAAAGAUCACGGAGGGGAGAAAAAAUCAUUGAGAAAUAUUUAUUAGUAAGAAUAGUAGUAAAAUUUACUGAGCACCAACUUUGUGACUUUACAAUCAUAUUCCAUCCAUGUAAUACUCACUUUACACAGAUAUACUUAACUCUAUUUUACAUGAUGAGGAAAGAGCCUAAAUGGUUAACAUUCUGAAGUAUUAAGGCAAGUUUGUAGGAGAACUAGGAUUAGAUCUUCCAUUUGUUUGAAGCCAAAGUCAUUUUCUCAAUCUUGCUGAAGAAUCGAAAGCUAGAAACUGGCUGUGUGGUAAAGAGGUCAAAGUAGCAGAUAAACCAGGAGAGAAAAACUACCUGCUUGUCUCUUGUAUUUAGUACCAAUAGGGUCAAACAUUAAGGGAAGAGUGGUGUCCUGGCUGGUGGAUAGGGGUUGAGUGAGGAAGGAGAAAUAGGAAGAAAAGAGAGAAGGGCUGAACAUAGUGGCUUGGCAUUUUUGGAACAGACACAGACACUGAUGGUUCCUGACCACUGCUCUCCAGUAGCAGCAAUCUUUGAGCAAUGAAGAUUUAUCCUGGGGAGAGAGAGCAAGUCAAGAAAGUUAUUGGUAUGAUGCAGAGAAGAUGGAUGAUGAAAUGCAAUUUAAAUUCUGCAUUCGUUGGUAAUUUUUUUUUAACACCAAUUCCCUCCUCCUCUUAUUUCUCCCUUUCAACCGGCUCUUUGUGGGUGGGUUACUCUUCUGAAAUGCCUACUUCCUUCCUCUUUUGUGUUUCUGUCUUGGUCCCUGGGGAGAAUGGAAAUUAGCUAAGUGUGAUGGGUGUUCAGGAGGCAGGCUUUGGUCCUUGGCCAAGAGAGAACUAAUUUCCCCAAGAGUAGCCAAAAGUAUCAGCUUCACAAACGCCCUUCUUAGAGCUGAAAGGAUUUCUUUGUUUCUUCAAUAUUCCAAAUCAGGGCAGUUGCAAUCUGUUUUAAGAAAUCCAUGAUCCACCCAAACAAAUCUCUCAAAUCGAUUCAAAUAUCAAUUAACAUGUACUGAGUUGUAGGGAGGGGAGUCAAAUUGGAGAUACAUAAAUUAGGAUUUAAAAAAUCCUUUACUCACGAUGAAUGCAUAGCUUUAUGUGAGGUACUGAAUCUUGUAUCAGAAAGUUCUAUCAUGUAAAUGAUAAUCAUUACGUAAAGCAGACUAAAAUAAAUGCUAAGUAGAGGUAUGUACCUGAUGCUAUGGGGAGAUAAAGAAAGGAAAAUUUCUUGAAAAGGGAGACCAUAUAGCUGGUUUGGAAAGAUGGAGAGAGGCUAAGAAAAGUACUCAAGGUAGAGAGCACAGCUUGAACAAAAACAUAAGCCUAAGAAAUGUCUGGUAGGGUUGGAAAUGGCUAGACUGUAGGGGUUAAGAAUUACAGAAUUUUUCGGCCAGUGUAAAAAAUCUCAGGGUUUUCUGAAAUGAGUCCAUUUUUUUCCCUCCAAUAAAUCAUCCUCUGAAGCAAUGCCAUUCAUUCAAAAGUAAAACAUCACUAAACUUAGAUUAUUUUUAUCUUGAUUAGUUAUAGUAAAGCAGUGAUCACUUCAUGCUUUACUACUCAUCUACUCCUCAGGAAUUUAGUAAAGAGAUGACAAAGAGUAAUGCAUCAACCCUCACUCAGCAAUUAUUUGUUGUCUCCAUGUACCCUCCCUGGCACAUAGUACAUACUUAAUAAAUCUUUGUUGCCUGGAUGAAAGAAGACAUAUGAUCCAUGAUGAUACCCUACUCUAUACCAUUUUCUAUUAUUCAGAGACCUAAUGGAACUCUUUUUUUUUUAAAUUAAUUUAUUUAUUUAUUGUCUUUUUGCCUUUUCUAGGGCCGCUUCCCGCGGCAUAUGGAGGUUCCCAGGCUAGGGGUCGAAUGGGAGCUGUAGUCUCCAGCCUACACCAGAGCCACAGCAAUGCGGGAUCCGAGCCGCGUCUGCAACCUACACCACAGCUCACAGCAACCCAGAUCCUGAGCAAGGCCAGGGGUCAAACCCGCAACCUCAUGGUUUCUAGUAGGAUUUGUUAACCACUGCACCAUGACAGGAACUCCCAAAUGGAACUCUUAAGUUACUCAGUGUCACUGGAUGUAUCUGUCUGGAUACGCUGGGUUAUGGUGUGGUAACAAAGAGCUCCAAAAAUCUAAGUGGCUUAACAUAAUGCAGAUUUAUUUCUUAGUCAAUCUACAUGACCAGUGAAGGUCAGCAGGAGGGUCUCCUUAUAAUGACUCAAGGACUGAAGGAGGCUCCAUCUUGACUCAUGCUUCCAGAGUCAUCAAGACAUAGAAACCAGGAUGUGGAAAAUUCUCUACUAGCUCUUAAAGCUCCCAUUCAGAUGUGAUGCAGGUUACUUUGCUUCACUUUUCAUUGUCCAAAGAAAAUCAUAUGGGUAUGCUUCAGGGAAGGCCUAACUUCAGGGAAGAGGAAGAGAAUCACAAUAUUUGUGAAGAGUUCUAAUGACCCCUAUGCUGGGUCACUCAUAUGGUUAGUCCCUGUAAUCAAGCUUUCACUGUAGAAAGAAACUUAAAUGCAGUUUUGUGAAUAAAUAUUGUGAAAAUACUGUUGCUUUUGUGUGCAUAAGAAGAUAACCGCUUUACCAGAUUUUGUGCAUAAAUAAAAUUAUUCACAAAUUUUCUUAACAGAAUUCUUCUGCUAGUUGAGCAAAUCAUAGUAUUUUGCCUUAAAUCAUUUUAAAUUUCAGUAUUGUUUCCAUGUCAAUGGCAGCCCACUUGGUACUUCUUGCCUCUUAUGAGAUGGUAGCAUUUACUCUAAAAACCUUGUUCAGUCAUUGAACAUCUUGCAGAAAUUUAGCUAGUGUAGAUAUAUGCCUAGCGCUUGUACUAACAUUUUCUAUCUUCUAUUCUGACACUUAUUAGAUGAUUGCUUUAAAGCUAUUUUUGAAGAGAGGGCUUGAAAGAGGAGAAUGGAUCAAUCACUGUUUAGCCUGCUAGACCCUCUUUGAUGUACGGUAACCAAAAGUCAUUCUCAUCACAUCACAGAAGGUUUAGGUGAGGCAAGCUUGUGAUCUCAGCUGAAUUCUUAAUACACGAUAGGCUGUCUAGUGUCCCCACACAGGGGAUGUAAUUCAGUUCAUAAUAAAAGCUCAGUGCCCUUAUUGCUGUUACUAUACACAGCCGACUUACUAUAUACCAUCUAUUGUAUUUUUUUGGAUGAAAGAAAAAGUAUUAGAUUAUUUCCUGACGGCCUUUCAAAGUCUACUUAACCAAUUCACUGCUGCUAAUUAGCAUCUGGGUGCCCUCAUAGAGCAACACUCUUGGCAAUUCCUAGUCUUCCUCACAAAUCAGACCUCCAUAAGACUACUGUCCCCUUGUGGUGAUGAACAGAUUAUGCCUAGUCCAUGGUAAACCUGAGGCUGUUUUCAAAAGGCUUGGAACAUGCCCGCCAUCUCAUUGUAUUUUCCAUCAACUGGAAUUACAGAAUAAGGUAAAAUAAGGUCUAAAGAUAGCUUUGUAUAUUGACCCUUGCAGGAAGAAAUGCUCAAUGGCUGAGAGAGUUCAUAGAUAACCUAGUUUCUUAUCCUCUUGGCCUCUUGCAACAAUAAUGUAGUUGCCACCUCAGCAGACAUAUUAUAUAAUCAAUACUUAGAUGGCCAUUAUUGCUGUUGGGCAUAAAAAAAUGCUUUUAAAAGGCAAAGGGAUCUUCUGGAGACACUCAUGCUGUCAACCAGAGCAGUCUUUAGGGAGGUUUCCCUCCAAAAGCAGCCAGCCAGAGGAAAUGUUGACAAUGUCAAAUGUCAGGUAGAGUUUCUAGGGUGAGGCAACGUACCAGGGGUCUCUUCCCUCCCUCAGCAGAUUCUGAGACAUAGGACGACUCUUGCUGGUGAAAAUCAAAGAAGCCAUUUAGGGGGUUGAAAUAUUUCCUAUACUUUUUUGUUUCAGAAUUUGUCCUCAACCUCCUAAUGUUAUGAAGAGCAGGGAUUGAGACUUUCUGUCAUUGUAACCAUAGUAAUGAAUACUAACUGUACACAAUAGUAAUGAAUACUAACUGUACACAAGGAAGUUGAAAACACCGAAUCCAAAAUAAACAAACUUCUGGCAUUGAUUGUGAAGGAAUAUUUUAAUUAUAAAUAUGAGUACAAUAAUUUGAUAUUGCUCAGCUAAUCUCACUCGAGGUCUAUAAACUACAUGCCACAUGGGAUGGAGUGAGAAAAACAUUUCACUAAAAGAUUUUACGGUUUGAGUCUCAAUAAGACAUUUUCUGAAUUUGACUUUUAUAGAACUGAUUUUUUUCCAAAGUUAAUAUUUAUUUUCUAGAGAUUGAGUGAUUUUGUACAAAGCCAGAAUUAGGUCAAGCUUUUCAUGAUCAAUAGAGAUCUAUAUUAAAAACUUUAGAAAUAUAUAUUGCUAGAAUGUAUCUCAUUUAUUUUGUGAAAACCACAACCACGAGGGGAUAUGGAAUGAGAAUAGGCAUGUUAAAAUGCUAACAAAGAACCUUCCACUCAACCCCCCCCCCCCACAAAAAAAAUAUUAAAGCAAGCAUGUGGGAUUUGCAAUCAUGCUGCAGCGGGGGUGUCAGAGAUCAAAAAUAAAUGGUGGGCCAUAACAUGCAGAGCUUUUAAAAAAUAAUGUCACAUUCUUUCAUUCUCAGCAUAAGAAAUGGGCAACUUGUUCAGGGCAAAUAAUUGUUUGAACUGAGGAUUUUAUUAUUAAUCUCUGAAGACUGCUGAAUUUAGGGUCACAGUAAGGGUUGAUUAGGUACAAGGUGCAUAAAGCUCUCCUCUGUCGAUGCUAUUGAAAGAAGCAAGUAAUUUAGAUUCAGAAUUGGUCUUGGAUUGAAGCUCACUCCAUUACCGACCAUUUUCAAUUUCAGCUAUACAAUAAACAUCAAGCUCGGCAAGGAAAUUAGUACAUUUGGUAAUGUAUUGGAAGAGAUGGGUGGGUCUUUGACAAGAUGACACUUAUCACCAAAGCUUCAGUUAAUGAAACCCUUGAG